rnacentral:rRNA from 1 species
UGGGGAAUAUUGGACAAUGGGCGGAAGCCUGAUCCAGCCAUGCCGCGUGUGUGAAGAAGGCCUUUUGGUUGUAAAGCACUUUAAGCGAGGAGGAGGCUACUGGUACUAAUACUACUGGAUAGUGGACGUUACUCGCAGAAUAAGCACCGGCUAACUCUGUGCCAGCAGCCGCGGUAAUACAGAGGGUGCGAGCGUUAAUCGGAUUUACUGGGCGUAAAGCGUGCGUAGGCGGCUGAUUAAGUCGGAUGUGAAAUCCCUGAGCUUAACUUAGGAAUUGCAUUCGAUACUGGUCAGCUAGAGUAUGGGAGAGGAUGGUAGAAUUCCAGGUGUAGCGGUGAAAUGCGUAGAGAUCUGGAGGAAUACCGAUGGCGAAGGCAGCCAUCUGGCCUAAUACUGACGCUGAGGUACGAAAGCAUGGGGAGCAAACAGG